UGCCAGACUCCUACGGGAGGCAGCAGUGGGGAAUAUUGGGCAAUGGGCGCAAGCCUGACCCAGCAACGCCGCGUGAAGGAAGAAGGCUUUCGGGUUGUAAACUUCUUUUAAGAGGGACGAAACAAAUGACGGUACCUCUUGAAUAAGCUCCGGCUAACUACGUGCCAGCAGCCGCGGUAAUACGUAGGGAGCGAGCGUUAUCCGGAUUCACUGGGUGUAAAGGGAGCGUAGACGGCCAUGCAAGCCAGGGGUGAAAGCCCGGGGCCCAACCCCGGGACUGCCCUUGGAACUGCAUGGCUGGAGUGCGGGAGGGGCAGGCGGAAUUCCUGGUGUAGCGGUGAAAUGCGUAGAUAUCAGGAGGAACACCGGCGGCGAAGGCGGCCUGCUGGACUGCAACUGACGUUGAGGCCCGAAAGCGUGGGGAGCAAACAGGAUUAGAUACCCCGGUA
rnacentral:rRNA from 1 species